rnacentral:rRNA from 1 species
GUGUCAGCCGCCGCGGUAAUACGUAGGGGGCGAGCGUUGUCCGGAAUUAUUGGGCGUAAAGGGCGCGCAGGCGGUCUUUUAAGUCUGAUGUGAAAUCCCGCGGCUUAACCGCGGGCGGUCAUUGGAAACUGGAGGACUUGAGUGCAGAAGAGGAGAGUGGAAUUCCACGUGUAGCGGUGAAAUGCGUAGAGAUGUGGAGGAACACCAGUGGCGAAGGCGACUCUCUGGUCUGCUACUGACGCUGAGGCGCGAAAGCGUGGGCAGCGAAC